rnacentral:rRNA from 1 species
GAUGAACGCUGGCGGCGUGCCUAAUACAUGCAAGUCGAGCGAACAGACUCGGUGCUUGCUCCUCUGACGGUAGCGGCGGACUGGUGAGUAACACGUGGAUAACCUGCCUACUAAACUGAGAGAACUUCGAGAAACCGGAGCUAUUGCCAUAUCAUAUAUUCAAUCUCAUGGUUGCUUCGUGAAUGACGGAUUUUGUGUUUCUUAUAGAUUGAUUUGUGCCGCAUUAGCUAGUUGGUAAGGUAACGGCUUACCAAGGCAACGAUGCGUAGCCGACCUGAGAGGGUGACCGGCCACACUGGAACUGAGACACGGCCCAGACUCCUACGGGAGGCAGCAGUAGGGAAUCUUCCGCAAUGGGGGAAAGCCUGACGGAGCAACGCCGCGUGAAUGAUGAAGGUCUUCGGAACGUAAAACUCUGUUAUUAGGGAAGAACAAAUGUGUAAGUAACUAUGCACGUAUUGACGGUACCUAAUAAGAAAGCCACGGCUAACUACGUG